CGGGUGCUGACCUUCGCGUGAGAGGCCUACAUCCUAGUGGCCUUAAAUCUUUGAAAGGGAGCUGGCUCUGUGAUUGGUCGUGGCCUAACACACCCGGUGCCCACCUGUGUACGCAGGCUCACAAGGAUAAGUCACCUCCACGGUCGAGACGGGCCCGC
rnacentral:other from 1 species